GGCUCAGGACGAACGCUGGCGGCGUGCCUAACACAUGCAAGUCGAACGGGAUCGGGGGCAACUCCGGUUCAGUGGCGAACGGGUGCGUAACACGUGAGGAACCUGACCAUCGGUGGGGGAUAGCCGGCCCAACGGCCGGGUAAUACCGCGUACGACCUUCGGGGGGCAUCCCCUGGAGGUGAGAGCAGCAAUGCGCCGAUGGAGGGCCUCGCGGCCUAUCAGCUAGUUGGUGAGGUAACGGCUCACCAAGGCGACGACGGGUAGCUGGUCUGAGAGGAUGGCCAGCCACAUUGGGACUGAGACACGGCCCAGACUCCUACGGGAGGCAGCAGUGGGGAAUCUUGCGCAAUGGGCGAAAGCCUGACGCAGCGACGCCGCGUGUGGGAUGACGGCCUUCGGGUUGUAAACCACUGUCGGGGGGGACGAAGCUCUGACGGUACCUCCAAAGGAAGCACCGGCUAACUCUGUGCCAGCAGCCGCGGUAAUACAGAGGGUGCGAGCGUUGUCCGGAAUCACUGGGCGUAAAGGGCGCGUAGGCGGCCUGAUAAGUAGGGGGUGAAAUCCUGCGGCUUAACUGCAGGGCUGCCCCCUAGACUGUCUGGCUCGAGCACGGUAGAGGCAGAUGGAAUUCCCGGUGUAGCGGUGGAAUGCGUAGAGAUCGGGAAGAACAUCGGUGGCGAAGGCGGUCUGCUGGGCCGUUGCUGACGCUGAGGCGCGACAGCGUGGGGAGCAAACAGGAUUAGAUACCCUGGUAGUCCACGCCGUAAACGAUGGACACUAGGCGUCGGGGGGAGCGACCCUCCCGGCGCCGUCGCUAACGCAGUA
rnacentral:rRNA from 1 species